AAUCUCAGCUCUGGUGCUGGUCUGAUCUUCGAUUCUACACACCUGCUUAACUCCACCCUCACUGCAAUUAGUUUUCACUGGUUCCACCUGCUCUCACCUCCAUAAGAACCCUGUACAGAUCAGCUGCCAGUGCUAGUUUGUCUCAUCCCAUCUGUGCGAGCAUCCCAGCGUUUUUGUCCUGCCUGUCUAUCUGUUAACCUGACCAGAUCCUGCCUUUGAUUACUGAGCUUGCCUGUCCUUUGCCACCUCUGAGCCUGUUUGAAACCGAACCCUGACCGGACCUGGAUCAAGCCUGUUGGAUUUCCCUGUUUGCACUUUUGCUGGAUCUCUGCCUCCUCGAUAACGGAACCUGGACCUCCCCUGGAUUACUGUCCCUGGAAAGCCCCUAACGGAUCCCCUGCUCGUUCGUCCGCAAUCGGACCACUGCCCCCGGAUCAGUCCGCCUGCCUGUCUGCCGGCUCUCCGAGCUCUGCUCCCCCGACUCCAGGGGGUUACCAGACCGAGCACAAACUGUAGCGCCACGGGAUGCCGAGCCUCGUUUCCUCCCUCUUUAAUAAAGUCUUUAAACGUCA